rnacentral:rRNA from 1 species
GACGAACGCUGGCGGCGUGCUUAACACAUGCAAGUCGAGCGGAAAGGCCCUUUCGGGGGUACUCGAGCGGCUAACGGGUGAGUAACACGUGAGUAAUCUGCCCUGGACUCUGGGUUAGCCACCGGAAACGGUGAUUAAUACCGGAUAUGACACCUUGCUGCAUGGUGGGGGGUGGAAAGUGUUUUCGGUCCAGGAUGUGCUCGCGGCCUAUCAGCUUGUUGGUGAGGUAAUGGCUCACCAAGGCUUUGACGGGUGGCCGGCCUGAGAGGGUGACAGGUCACGCUGAGACUGAGACGCAGCCCAGAGUCCGACGGGAGGCAGCAGUGGUGAUUAUGAGACAAUGGGCGUAAGCCUGGUCCAGCAACGCCGCGUGAGGGAUGACGGCCUUCGGGUUGUAAACCUCUUUCAGUACCGACGAAGCGUGAGUGACGGUAGGUACAGAAGAAGGACCGGCCAACUACGUGCCAGCCGCCGCCGUAAUAC